rnacentral:rRNA from 1 species
GACGAACGCUGGCGGCGUGCCUAAUACAUGCAAGUAGAACAGCUGCGAACGGGUGAGUAACGCGUAGGUAACUGCCUCAUAGCGGGGGAAAACUAUUGGAAACGAUAGCUAAUACCGCAUACUGUGAGAUGGACCUGCGUUUGAUUAGCUAGUUGGUGAGGGAAAGGCUCACCAAGGCGACGAUACACAGCCGACCUGAGUGGGUGGUCGGCGCCACUGGGACUGUGACACGGCCCAGACUCCUAAGGGAGUCAGCAGUAGGGAAUCUUCGGCAAUGGACGGAAGUCUGACCGAGCAACGCCGCGUGAGAGAAGAAGGUUUUCGGAUCGUAAAGCUCUGUUGUUAGAGAAGCGGUAACUACCCAGAAAGGGACGGCUAACUACGUGCCAGCAGCCGCGGUAAUUC